GAUGAACGCUGGCGGCGUGCUUAACACAUGCAAGUCGAACGAAGCACUUUCAAUUGAUUCUUCGGAAGAAAGAGAUUGUGACUGAGUGGCGGACGGGUGAGUAACGCGUGGGUAACCUGCCUCAUACAGGGGGAUAACAGUUAGAAAUGACUGCUAAUACCGCAUAAGCGCACAGUACCGCAUGGUACGGUGUGAAAAACUCCGGUGGUAUGAGAUGGACCCGCGUCUGAUUAGCUAGUUGGUGAGGUAACGGCCCACCAAGUCGACGAUGGGUAGCCGAACUGAGAGGUUGAACGGCCACAUUGGAACUGAGAUACGGUCCAGACUCCCUAGGGAGCAGCAGUGGGGAAUAUUGGGGCAAUGGCGAAAGCCUGACCCAGCGACG
rnacentral:rRNA from 1 species